GAUGAACGCUGGCGGCGUGCCUAAUACAUGCAAGUCGAGCGAACGGACGAGAAGCUUGCUUCUCUGAUGUUAGCGGCGGACGGGUGAGUAACACGUGGAUAACCUACCUAUAAGACUGGGAUAACUUCGGGAAACCGGAGCUAAUACCGGAUAAUAUUUUGAACCGCAUGGUUCAAAAGUGAAAGACGGUCUUGCUGUCACUUACAGAUGGAUCCGCGCUGCAUUAGCUAGUUGGUAAGGUAACGGCUUACCAAGGCAACGAUGCAUAGCCGACCUGAGAGGGUGAUCGGCCACACUGGAACUGAGACACGGUCCAGACUCCUACGGGAGGCAGCAGUAGGGAAUCUUCCGCAAAGGGCGAAAGCCUGACGGAGCAACGCCGCGUGAGUGAUGAAGGUCUUCGGAUCGUAAAACUCUGUUAUUAGGGAAGAACAUAUGUGUAAGUAACUGUGCACAUCUUGACGGUACCUAAUCAGAAAGCCACGGCUAACUACGUG
rnacentral:rRNA from 1 species